UCCCUUGUAGCUCAGUUGGUAAAGAAUCUGCCUGCAGUGCAGGAGAUCUGGGUUCAAUUCCUGGGUCGGGAA
rnacentral:tRNA from 1 species